CACCCGCAAGCAGAGCCGCUCGCCCCCACGACCCUUCCUGCCGCCGCCGGCCAUCGUCUCCUCGCGCCCCGAGCGCAUCCGCGACCAUGACCGCCGCACCUCCCGCAGCCCCCCGCCGACUCGCCGCUGUCCAGGAGGUCCCUGACGCCGCCACCGCCGGCCAUCGGCUCCUCGCGCCCCGAGCGCAUCCGCGACCACCGCACCUCCCGCAGCCCCCCGCCGCGCCGGCGCCACUCGCCACCAUCCAGGAGGUCCCGUCGCCGCCCUUCAAGUGGUCCUGGCAGGACGAUGGGUACGACCACCGAGGAGGCCGCGGCAGCCCCCCACCACGGUACGACCGAGGAGGAGGCAGAGGUGGGUAUGAUGAUGACCGGCACCACGGCAGGCAUCGUGCUUCAGAUUGGCCUGAUUCUAGAUUUGGGGCACCGAAUGAUGGUCCUGGGAAUACCCAAAGGUAUAUAUGUAUAUAAUUACCUACACCUACAUGUUUAUUUCCCUGCUGUGGUUAGUCUUUUGGGUUUCUAGACACUCUUAUUUUUUUCUCCUGGGCACCAUAAAUAUGUAGGAAUCGUCAGUAUUGUAAAAAAAUAUGGAAAUUAAGUUGUCUACUAUGCUCUUAGCCACAGUUAACAGAUAGAGAAUCUUCUUAGAAAUUCUCCAUAUUUGAUGUUCGAAAGCAAACUGAUCCUUGGCUAUAUGCACGUUGGAUUUUCGAUUCUUCAUUACUCUUUAUUAGCCACCAGCAAGCCUUGUGCUCUUUUUACAGUCAGUACUACUACCACCACAAAAGGCUCGUCCCAGUCGUAUAGCAGCUAAACUAUCGAAGGCAGGAUUAGUGUAUGUUUUGGAUACAGUCAAAUGGAGAAUCUGAUGAGAAUAUUCUUUAUCUGUUAACAAUAGGUAGUUUGGGCAUUGACUUUAUUUGAAUUAUUUCUCAGUGUUUUUUAUCAAAAUGAUAAACACGAGGCCAACUUUGCUGGUUAUUUUAUUGUUUGCAUGUUAUAGUCCACUAUUUUGAUGUGCAUGCUACUAUAUUGAGCGCAAAUCUACAUUAAAAAUUCCGUGUAAAAAUUUGAGAUAUAUGUAGUUGUGAACUAUUUUAGUUUCUUGCAUAUUUGCAUAGAUAUUCAUGCUACACGAUUUACACUAAUCCUUUUUUAAUGUAUUCAUCUUUGCCAUUUUCAUCAUAUCUGCAAUAAGUUCCUUUAUUGAUUGGUACUUGUUCAAAAGAGGGACAUGAAUGGAUGGCCCAUUUUGUUUGGAGUAGUUGGGUUAAAUCAUAUAUUUUUCCACCUGGUGUGAACAUGCAUUUUACCACUACAAAAAGUCAUUCUUAAAGGUUGAUGGAUUUAAAUUAUAUACAUUAUAUGUCCUGUACAAAGAAGAGCAAAUUGGUGCAGUGAGUGUGGUGGAUAGUGUGUCACUCAAACUGCAUCGAUUAGUAUUUUUGUGUGGAGAACACAAGUCAUGUUUUGGCACCAUAUCUUGCAAGUGUACUUAAUUGUUAUGGCAUGAUACGAUCCCUGAUUUCUCAAGAACACAUUACACCUUAUGGAGCACAUAGAAAUUUGAAUACGUGGAUGUGGAAAUCAGGUUUUGACUAUGCAUUAGAAGGUUAGAUGGUCCAGGUCUAUUAUGUACUGGUAUUAGUGCUAUAUAUCUACAUUGUCUAACUUUAACUUAUUAGUUCAAUAUUUUGGAUUCCACAUCGUUAACCACCUGGUGCGGCUCCUCCAUCAAUUCGGUAAUUUCAAAGUCUAAGCUAGGUGGACUGUGAAGUACAAAAUUACUAAGAAAUUAAUUACACCGGGUCAUAAAGAUUCUCUUGCUUGGUAAAGUUUUUGGUUGAAAGUUCUAAGACGAUGAUACUGUUACAAUCCGAUGGAGCUGUGCUAAUCUCCUGGCUCCUUGCCCUGAUGGACACCACACAACUGCACUGCAACCUGCAGUUCUUUCCCUGCUCACCAUGACCCGCCUCCUCAUCUUUAUCCGAGAUAAAGGGUUUUCAUCGAGUCGGACAUGAUUCCAUUUUUAAAGUGUAGUUGGACAGUUCCAAGUAUUUGUUUUCAUCAUGUCGGGAUCUCGGAAAUAUUUGCUGGAGGAAGUACUGCAGUACUGAUAGAGGCUCUUUCUCUUAAUUUAGAUCACUUUGUUGGGCUUCUUUCAAAAUCACAUCCAUGCUAUUGAUGGUGUGAUUUCUCUAUUUUUUGCUUAUUUAGUACUCGCCACUCCUCUCUAAUUGCCUGUUGGUUAUCUCAUUUUUCCCUUUUUCUGUUGAGCAAUUUUUUCUAUUGCUGUGGUAGGCCGGAAUCAGUUUUUUGUUUAAAUCGUAGAUGAAUAGUCAGUUCUACAUAUAUGUAACAUAUGCUAUUUUUGUUGCCUCAUAUUAACAUGGGAAUCAAGGAAGUUUCUGCAAAUGUA